GGACAGACAGGAGGUCAGGAAGGAAGAGGAGAGGAGAGGACAGAGAGGUCAGGAAGGAAGAGGAGAGGAGAGGACAGAGAGGAGGUCAGGAAGGAAGAGGAGAGGACAGAGAGGAGGUCAGGAAGGAAGAGGAGAGGAGAGGACAGAGAGGUCAGGAAGGAAGAGGAGAGGACAGAGAGGUCAGGAAGGAAGAGGAGAGGACAGAGAGGAGGUCAGGGAGGAAGAGGAGAGCACAAAGAGGAGGUCAGGAAGGGGAGAGGACUGAAGAAAUCAGGUAGAGGAGAAGACAGAGAGGUCAGGAAGGAAGAGGACAGAGAGGAGGUCAGUAAGGGAGAGGACAGAGUCGAGGUCAGGAGAGAGCACUCUAGGCCAUAUUUAAAAUGUGUUUAUUCUUUUGGAACUUAUAAGAGUGUAAUGUUUACUGUUAAUUUUUGUUUGUUUGUUUCACUUCACUUUUUUUUGGCAAUGUUAACAUGUGUUUCCCAUGUCAAUAAAGCCCUUAAAUUGAAUUGAGAGAGAGAGCUCUAGGCCAGAGAGGGAGAGGGAGAGCGAGAGAGCUCUAGGCCAGAGAGCGAGAGAGCUCUAGGCCAGAGAGCGAGAGAGCUCUAGGCCAGAGAGCGAGAGAGCUCUAGGCCAGAGCUCUAGGCCAGAGAGCGAGAGAGCUCUAGGCCAGAGAGCGAGAGAGCUCUAGGAG